rnacentral:misc_RNA from 1 species
AAAGUCGUAACAAGGUUUCCGUAGGUGAACCUGCGGAAGGAUCAUUAUCACGUAUCCACGUAUAAACCAUUGUGAACCGUUCUUUAACCUCCACAAGUGUUUUUGGCGCGCACAUCGUGAACGUCAAAAAUGUGAGUGGAGCGUAUUCAACCUAUUAACCAUUUUAACCAAUCUUUAUAACUUUAUGAACUAACUUUAUUUUAUACUCUUCGGAGAUAAAAUUCAUUACGAAACAAAGAACAACUCUUAGCAACGGAUAUCUUGGUUCUC